AUACAGCUGACGUGUCUCAAAUAGGGCGAAAACACGCGUCCUGGAU
rnacentral:hammerhead_ribozyme from 1 species